AUGAACGCUGGCGGCGUGCCUAAUACCUGCAAGUCGAGCGAACAGACGAGGAGCCUGCUCCUCUGACGUUAGCGGCGGACGGGUGAGUAACACGUGGAUAACCUACCUAUAAGACUGGGAUAACUUCGGGAAACCGGAGCUAAUACCGGAUAAUAUAUUGAACCGCAUGGUUCAAUAGUGAAAGACGGUUUUGCUGUCACUUAUAGAUGGAUCCGCGCCGCAUUAGCUAGUUGGUAAGGUAACGGCUUACCAAGGCAACGAUGCGUAGCCGACCUGAGAGGGUGAUCGGCCACACUGGAACUGAGACACGGUCCAGACUCCUACGGGAGGCAGCAGUAGGGAAUCUUCCGCAAUGGGCGAAAGCCUGACGGAGCAACGCCGCGUGAGUGAUGAAGGUCUUCGGAUCGUAAAACUCUGUUAUUAGGGAAGAACAAAUGUGUAAGUAACUAUGCACGUCUUGACGGUACCUAAUCAGAAAGCCACGGCUAACUACGUG
rnacentral:rRNA from 1 species